GCCUGGGUGGCGGAAUAGGUAGACGCAAGGGACUUAAAAUCCCUCGUUGCUUAGCGACGUGUCGGUUCGAUUCCGACCCCAGGUACCA
rnacentral:tRNA from 1 species